AUAUAAAUAGUGAGGAGCCCACUGAUAAUGAUUGUAAGGGUAUGGAAGAUAUCAUGAAGUUUUCUGAUGUUAUUCGACAGAUCAUUCAAUCAAAAACAUCAUCAGGGGCUGGUAAUGGUUUUGCUCUUAUUGGUGAAGCAGCUAGUGGAGCUAAAGCUGAUAAUUUUAGUCACAGAAUA
rnacentral:lncRNA from 1 species